CCUACGGGAGGCAGCAGUGAGGAAUUUUGCGCAAUGGGCGAAAGCCUGAUGGAGCGACGCCGCGUGGGGGAUGAAUGGCUUCGGCCCGUAAACCCCUGUCAUUCGGGAUCAAUUCCCGCAACCUAACACGUUGCGGGUUGAUGGUACUGAAAGAGGAAGGGACGGCUAACUCUGUGCCAGCAGCCGCGGUAAU
rnacentral:rRNA from 1 species